rnacentral:rRNA from 1 species
AACGAACGCUGGCGGCAUGCCUAACACAUGCAAGUCGAACGAGACCUUCGGGCCUAGUGGCGCACGGGUGCGUAACGCGUGGGAACCUGCCCUUAGGUUCGGAAUAACUCCCCGAAAGGGGUGCUAAUACCGGAUAAUGUCUUCGGACCAAAGAUUUAUCGCCUUUGGAUGGGCCCGCGUUGGAUUAGCUGGUUGGUAGGGUAAAAGCCUACCAAGGCGACGAUCCAUAGCUGGUCUGAGAGGAUGAUCAGCCACACUGGGACUGAGACACGGCCCAGACUCCUACGGGAGGCAGCAGUGGGGAAUAUUGGACGAUGGGCGAAAGCCUGAUACAGCAGUGCCGCGUGAGUGAUGAAGGCCUUAGGGUUGUAAAGCUCUUUUACCCGGGAUGAUAAUGACGGUACCGGGAGAAUAAGCACCGGCUAACUCCGUG